rnacentral:rRNA from 1 species
CCUACGGGAGGCAGCAGUGAGGAAUAUUGGUCAAUGGGCGCGAGCCUGAACCAGCCAAGUAGCGUGAAGGAUGACUGUCCUACGGGUUGUAAACCUCUUUUAUAAAGGAAUAAAGUGAGGCACGUGUGCCUUUUUGUAUGUACCUUAUGAAUAAGGAUCGGCUAACUCCGUGCCAGCAGCCGCGGUAAUACGGAGGAUCCGAGCGUUAUCCGGAUUUAUUGGGUUUAAAGGGUGCGUAGGUGGGUUGUUAAGUCAGUUGUGAAAGUUUGCGGCUCAACCGUAAAAUUGCAAUUGAUACUGGCAGCCUUGAGUACGGUUGAGGUAGGCGGAAUUCGUGGUGUAGCGGUGAAAUGCUUAGAUAUCACGAAGAACUCCGAUUGCGAAGGCAGCUUACUAAGCUGUCACUGACGUUGAUGCUCGAAAGUGUGGGUAUCAAACAGGAUUAGAUACCCCAGUAGUC